UGGGACCUGAUCUGAGGAGAUGCCUAGCUAGGAUUCAAACCAGGCAAAGCAUGAUACCAGAGGAAACAGCAGAAGGGACAGAAACAGGGAGCAAGCAUGCAAGCCUCCUGCCCACCCUGCUCAUUCAAGAAGUCUCAAUCUUGACCUAGAGGGACCACCUGUAGCGGUCAGAAGGAACCGCGAAAGGAGGAGCACAGGUCUGGGAGACUGCACACAAUGAAGUUUGUUUCACAGCAC